GUGAGGAAUUUUCCGCAAUGGGCGAAAGCCUGACGGAGCAAUGCCGCGUGAAGGAUGAAGGCCUAUGGGUUGUAAACUUCUUUUCUCAGAAAAGAAUUAUGACGGUAUCUGAGGAAUAAGCAUCGGCUAACUCUGUGCCAGCAGCCGCGGUAAGACAGAGGAUGCAAGCGUUAUCCGGAAUGAUUGGGCGUAAAGCGUCUGUAGGUUGUUUAAAAAGUAUUCUGUCAAAGAUUAGGGCUUAACCCUAGAUAGGCAGAAUAAACUUUUAAGCUAGAGUUUGGUAGAGGCAGAGGGAAUUCCCGGUGGAGCGGUGAAAUGCGUAGAUAUCGGGAGGGACACCAAAGGCGAAGGCACUCUGCUGGGCCAAUACUAACACUGAGAGACGAAAGCGAGGGGAGCAAAUGGGAUUAGAUACCCCAGUAGUCC
rnacentral:rRNA from 1 species